CAGUAGCGCGGGAAUACGGAGGGAGCUAGCGUUGUUCGGAAUUACUGGGCGUAAAGCGCGCGUAGGCGGUUACUCAAGUCAGAGGUGAAAGCCCGGGGCUCAACCCCGGAACUGCCUUUGAAACUAGGUGACUAGAAUCUUGGAGAGGUCAGUGGAAUUCCGAGUGUAGAGGUGAAAUUCGUAGAUAUUCGGAAGAACACCAGUGGCGAAGGCGACUGACUGGACAAGUAUUGACGCUGAGGUGCGAAAGCGUGGGGAGCAAACAGGAUUAGAUACCCCUGUAGUCCCUGUCUCUUAUACA
rnacentral:rRNA from 1 species